AUCUGUUACAGCUCUUUUAGCAUUUUUCUAGCAGGAUUUCUGACUUUGGUCAGAAAGCCCAA
ensembl:snRNA Gm26296 predicted gene, 26296